UCACUCCUCUUCUUCUUGAUG
rnacentral:miRNA from 1 species